AGCAGUCGCCACGGUAAUACGUAGGGUCCGAGCGUUGUCCGGAAUUACUGGGCGUAAAGAGCUCGUAGGUGGUUUGUCGCGUUGUUCGUGAAAACUCACAACUCAAUUGUGGGCGUGCGGGCGAUACGGGCAGACUGGAGUACUGCAGGGGAGACUGGAAUUCCUGGUGUAGCGGUGGAAUGCGCAGAUAUCAGGAGGAACACCGGUGGCGAAGGCGGGUCUCUGGGCAGUAACUGACGCUGAGGAGCGAAAGCGUGGGGAGCGAACAGGAUUAGAUACCCCUGUAGUCCCUGUCUCUUAUAC
rnacentral:rRNA from 1 species